rnacentral:misc_RNA from 1 species
AACAAAACAAAAACCCAAUAAAAUUCAGUUCUGAGGAAGAACAAAAAAUGGUAAAAAGCAGGAACAAAACCCAGAAAAGAGUAGCUCUUUGGAAAAUUGUAAAACAGGAAGAAGGAAUAAAGGGAAUAUAAGAGAAACACCUUUCUUUCAAGUUCCCAAGUGUAAAUGGGUAUCAAUCAAAAGCUAAAAAGAAGCUUGAUUCAAA